rnacentral:rRNA from 1 species
CCUACGGGAGGCAGCAGUGGGGAAUAUUGGACAAUGGGGGCAACCCUGAUCCAGCCAUGCCGCGUGUGUGAAGAAGGCCCUCGGGUUGUAAAGCACUUUCAGUGAGGAAGAACGCCUGGUGGUUAAUACCCAUCAGGAAAGACAUCACUCACAGAAGAAGCACCGGCUAACUCCGUGCCAGCAGCCGCGGUAAUACGGAGGGUGCGAGCGUUAAUCGGAAUUACUGGGUGUAAAGCGCGCGUAGGUGGCUUGAUAAGCCGGUUGUGAAAGCCCCGGGCUCAACCUGGGAACGGCAUCCGGAACUGUCAAGCUAGAGUGCAGGAGAGGAAGGUAGAAUUCCCGGUGUAGCGGUGAAAUGCGUAGAGAUCGGGAGGAAUACCAGUGGCGAAGGCGGCCUUCUGGACUGACACUGACACUGAGGUGCGAAAGCGUGGGUAGCAAACAGGAUUAGAUACCCCUGUAGUC